rnacentral:pre_miRNA from 1 species
AAUUGUGCGACGAACUAGGUUCAGUUGAUGUAAAUUUUUGAAAUCAUCACUGGGCUUUGUUUGUCGCACAAC